rnacentral:rRNA from 1 species
GAUGGACGCUGGCGGCGUGCCUAAUACAUGCAAGUCGAGCGAACGGACGAGAAGCUUGCUUCUCUGAUGUUAGCGGCGGACGGGUGAGUAACACGUGGAUAACCUACCUAUAAGACUGGGAUAACUUCGGGAAACCGUAGCUAAUACCGGAUAAUAUUUUGAACCGCAUGGUUCAAAAGUGAAAGACGGUCUUGCUGUCACUUAUAGAUGGAUCCGCGCUGCAUUAGCUAGUUGGUAAGGUAACGGCUUACCAAGGCAACGAUGCAUAGCCGACCUGAGAGGGUGAUCGGCCACACUGGAACUGAGACACGGUCCAGACUCCUACGGGAGGCAGCAGUAGGGAAUCGUCCGCAAUGGGCGAAAGCCUGACGGAGCAACGCCGCGUGAGUGAUGAAGGUCUUCGGAUCGUAAAACUCUGUUAUUAGGUAAGAACAUAUGUGUAAGUAACUGUGCACAUCUUGACGGUACCUAAUCAGAAAGCCACGGCUAACUACGUG